UACGUAGGCAGCAAGCGUUGUUCGGAAUUACUGGGCGUAAAGAGUGUGUAGGCGGUGCUCUAAGUUCGGUGUGAAAUCUCCCGGCUUAACUGGGAGGGUGCGCCGGAAACUGGAGUGCUUGAGCGCGGGAGAGGAAAGCGGAAUUCCUGGUGUAGCGGUGAAAUGCGUAGAUAUCAGGAGGAACACCUGUGGUGUAGACGGCUUUCUGGACCGUAGCUGACGCUGAGGUACGAAAGCGUGGGGAGCGAACAGG
rnacentral:rRNA from 1 species